AUACAUUACAAAUCUCAAGUAAAGGUAUCAUUCCCCGAAUAAGACAAAAGUUCUCAGUUCUCCAAUAAUUACACAAUUACAAUAUCAGUCCCAAAUAUUACAUCAAAUACUUAUCAAGUGAAUCGAAUUCAAAUUAUAUAUGAGAUAUCCCUUCAGACACUAAUAACUCAAUACAAGCGCUUCCUUUGGCCUCGAGCCCUGUGGGGAAAAAAAUUAUUUUUGGGGGUCACUAAUUAAGCCUCAGAACUUUCACUUCCAAACCUGUUAAGGAAAACAAAUUGGGGUAAGGUAACGCUCAGUGAGGCCAAGGGAAAAACAUGCAAGCAUGCGAGCAAAGACACAGUAUAAAGCAAUAACUUGAGUAACAAAUAACUGCGAAACAUUAAGCAAGUAGGGAAUUUAAUCACAAUAAAAGGAUACGGGAGCUCUCAGGAACUAAUCCACGCGCGAUCCAAGCUCAGGUAGUUGACCCUCCGUCAACUUUCAUAGUUAUCUAUGUAGAACUCCACUUACUACCUCCAGCCACCAUGACACCCUCUUGAAUCCGUAACCAAACAAGCAUGUAGGUGGUAUCACUUAACAAGUAUACCUAGCAAGACCCCUUAUUUGGAUCAAGCUAUAACACUUCCCAAGGUUCACCAAGUUUCUCGAUCAAACCCUUGCCGGCUCGAGUUACAAGGCUAGCCAAUGGGUUGGGGUGUCCCCCCUAUUCACUUUUAGGUCGAUGAAACGAAACUCCAAUCGACAAGAUUUGGUCAUAGCAUUGAGAUGGGAUGAGCGGCACCUCUUACCCUAAAAGGGCAUGAUACAUUCUGCCGCUCAAUGCUCACGAAAAACACUUUCAUUUGCAAUCACAUGUAACACGUAUCACUUAUCAAGCAAGCAAUUUCAAGAAAGAGAGGACAAUGGCGAUAAAGUAUACCCUUGCCUCAUUAACUAGCAAGUAUGAGAAACCUUUCAUUUAAACACUUCACAUGCACUUAAUACUCACCAAAAGUCGUGAGAGAGGGAAAAAAAAUGAAGCGGCUAAACGAGUUCUUCGGAGUUCUCGUAUUCACCUGAGACAUGUAUAAUUACGAUCAUUCACGUGCAUAUUCAAGACCAAGCAAAAAUAUCAAGUCAUUUUCAUGUUUAUUGUAAAAAUCAGGAAACUGGAGGUUUAUGGCAGAAACCUUUAGAAAAUCGUAACUUAAUAUUUACAAGUCCAAAAUUUGCAUAGUUGAUACCGUUGGAAACCUAAUUGAAAGGGCUAAAACUUUGUAGAAGACACCUUGAUGAGAUUCCAUACAGAUUUUGCCCAGUUUUUCCGUCAAUAGACUGCUACAGUAAAAUGCAGGGCAGGGAAAAUUCUGUUUUUCCAGCGGACUUGGAAAAAUCACCAAAAAUCACAGAAAAUGAAUUAGCCCCUGAAAUUUACAUAGAUUGUAGCCUUAUGUGUCUAGUUUCAAACCAAACAAACAGGGCUCGAUUUGGAGUGGUAUACACCAAAAGAUAACCUUUUUCCCGAAACUGGUCUGAUGUUCCAGAAAGCAAAUUUCCAGUUUUCACUUUAACAAGUUCACUCCUUUCUUUUCCUUUGAAGAGCUAAUCAGUUUACUCAACCCAAAUACACUUAAAAUCCAUUAUUUUGGCAAAACUUUAACUCAAAUAAAAGCUCCAAAAAUCUGAAAUUUUGUCCCAAAAAUUUCAGCCAACAUGAAAGAUUCAAAACAGAAAUUUUUCCUCUUACUAUACUUAAACACACACAAGUUCAUCCAUCCAAAUUAAGGAAUACCUUGCAAUAAUUAACAUGCCAAAAAUGUAAUAAAACAAGAUUUAUCACAUAUAUACAUCCAAUCACAUAUCACACAUCCAAUAUCGAAAUAUUGAGAUCUAGAUCGAGUGCGACAAGGUACACCCCCGUCUAAGUCUCAUUUAAUCACAUUUAAUCACAUAAAGCAGCUAAUACAAUAAAUCUCAAUUGCUCAGAUCAAACACAUGUCCUUAGGUGAGUGUGAAAAAAUACACACACACACCUUAUAAAGAGAAUACAGUUCACAAAUCCAUUUAGAAAACCCUUUUAGUAACGGCAAAUACAUUUAAAUAAACAAAGGGGCACAUUUAACUAAAAUACUUGAGGAAAGAUAUUAACAAAUAAGGAACACUCACCAAUCACCGCUCAUGAUCCCCAUUCACCACAAUUGAUUAUUGUCCAAAUCCAAUUCCUAAAACACAAAGUUCAAUAUCACAUAUCACUGUCACCUUUUAAUAAUUUAAGCACAACUCGAGCUACACUUAUCGGAUUGAAACAAAAAAUAUACUGUUUUGAAGCUAAGACAUAGCUCUACAAUUCUCAUGAAGACAUCUCAACUCAGUUCCCAACCUAACCCAGCCAAAUUUACCCAAACAGCCCCUAGAUUUUCCAGUUCGAAGUUCACUGUGAAAUUCAACUAGCAGUCCUGAUUCAUUCAAUCAUAUCUCAGCACACACAACUCCGAUUCAGGUAAUUCCAAAACCAUUUGAAAUCUAAGAUACAAGGCUAUAAUUCUUAAGAAGGUAUCAAAAACUAAUUCAUCCAUCUUCCCAGCCAAACGAAGCAAUUACGGAGGCAGAUUAUCAUGUCUGACAAAAAUAGGGCAGCAGGGGUAAAAUAGUCAUUUCACAAGGUACCCUGGUCUGAUUGAGCUGAAAUCUACAGGUAUAAUCUAUACUCAAUUCUAUACAACUUCCAUGUUUUGUUCUAAGGCUAAUUCAGCCUCCAUCAUACCUGAAUAUUCAAGCCAAUUUCAGACAAGAAAUCUGGAACAGUAAUCAAAACUGCCAAAUUCAUUCAAUUAAUUUCAACCCAUGAAUUUCUAGCUAUGAAAUCAGUUCCUAGCUUAGUAACUCCAACUUCUAGUUACUACUACAAGCUAUACCAUAAAAAUUGAGAGCUAGGAAGUCAAGUUACCUUUCAAUCUUCAAGAAACAAAGCUGGACAGAGAUGAUGAAGACAGCCAGCAGUCAAUCGUUCCUUCUCCUUGCUUUCACACAUAAUUGGAGGGAUAAAUGGUUGAUUGAAUUGCCAGAUUUCCUCUUGCUUUUCUCCCUUUUCCUCUCCAUUUUCUCUCGCUCUCUCACUGCUCUCUCUCUCUCUCCCCCUUUUUCUUGUCCAGCUU
rnacentral:lncRNA from 1 species